rnacentral:rRNA from 1 species
GCGUACCUUUUGUAUAAUGGGUCAGCGACUUAUAUUCUGUAGCAAGGUUAACCGAAUAGGGGAGCCGGAGGGAAACCGAGUCUUAACCGGGCGUUAAGUUGCAGGGUAUAGACCCGAAACCCGGUGAUCUAGCCAUGGGCAGGUUGAAGGUUGGGUAACACUAACUGGAGGACCGAACCGACUAAUGUUGAAAAAUUAGCGGAUGACCUGUGGCUGGGGGUGAAAGGCCAAUCAAACCGGGAGAUAGCUGGUUCUCCCCGAAAGCUAUUUAGGUAGCGCCUCGUGAAUUCAUCUCCGGGGGUAGAGCACUGUUUCGGCUAGGGGGCCAUCCCGGCUUACCAACCCGAUGCAAACUGCGAAUACCGGAGAAUGUUAUCACGGGAGACACACGGCGGGUGCUAACGUCCGUCGUGAAGAGGGAAACAACCCAGACCGCCAGCUAAGGUCCCAAAGUCAUGGUUAAGUGGGAAACGAUGUGGGAAGGCCCAGACAGCCAGGAUGUUGGCUUAGAAGCAGCCAUCAUUUAAAGAAAGCGUAAUAGCUCACUGGUCGAGUCGGCCUGCGCGGAAGAUGUAACGGGGCUAAACCAUGCACCGAAGCUGCGGCAGCGACACUGUGUGUUGUUGG